AACAAUAUGUUGUACCAUUUAUUCGCUAAUGGUUAAGUUAGAAAGGGCGCACGGUGAAUGCCUUGGCACUAGGAGCCGAUGAAGGACGGGACUAACACCGAUAUGCUUCGGGGAGCUGUAAGUGAGCUUUGAUCCGGAGAUUUCCGAAUGGGGAAACCCACUGUUCGUAAUGGAACAGUAUCUUUAUCUGAAUACAUAGGAUAUUGAAGGCAGACCCGGGGAACUGAAACAUCUAAGUACCCGGAGGAAGAGAAAGCAAAUGCGAUUUCCUGAGUAGCGGCGAGCGAAACGGAAUUAGCCCAAACCAAGAGGCUUGCCUCUUGGGGUUGUAGGACACUCUAUACGGAGUUACAAAGGAACGAAGUAAAUGAAGCGACCUGGAAAGGUCCGUCGAAGAAGGUAACAACCCUGUAGUUGAAACUUCGUUCCCUCUUGAGUGGAUCCUGAGUACGGCGGAACACGUGAAAUUCCGUCGGAAGCUGGGAGGACCAUCUCCCAAGGCUAAAUACUACCUAGUGACCGAUAGUGAACCAGUACCGUGAGGGAAAGGUGAAAAGCACCCCGGAAGGGGAGUGAAAGAGAUCCUGAAACCGUGUGCCUACAAGUAGUCAGAGCCCGUUAACGGGUGAUGGCGUGCCUUUUGUAGAAUGAACCGGCGAGUUACGAUCCCAUGCAAGGUUAAGCUGAUAAGGCGGAGCCGUAGCGAAAGCGAGUCUGAAUAGGGCGUUUAGUAUGUGGUUGUAGACCCGAAACCAGGUGAUCUACCCAUGUCCAGGGUGAAGUUCAGGUAACACUGAAUGGAGGCCCGAACCCACGCACGUUGAAAAGUGCGGGGAUGAGGUGUGGGUAGCGGAGAAAUUCCAAUCGAACCUGGAGAUAGCUGGUUCUCUCCGAAAUAGCUUUAGGGCUAGCCUCAUGUUGUGAGAGUCUUGGAGGUAGAGCACUGAUUGGACUAGGGGCCCCCAACGGGUUACCGAAUUCAGUCAAACUCCGAAUGCCAAAGACUUAUCCAUGGGAGUCAGACUGCGAGUGAUAAGAUCCGUAGUCAAAAGGGAAACAGCCCAGACCACCAGCUAAGGUCCCCAAGUAUACGUUAAGUGGAAAAGGAUGUGGAGUUGCUUAGACAACCAGGAUGUUGGCUUAGAAGCAGCCACCAUUUAAAGAGUGCGUAAUAGCUCACUGGUCGAGUGACUCUGCGCCGAAAAUGUACCGGGGCUAAACGUAUCACCGAAGCUGUGGAUUGACAUCUUAGAUGUCAGUGGUAGGAGAGCGUUCUAAGUGCAGCGAAGUCAGACCGUAAGGACUGGUGGAGCGCUUAGAAGUGAGAAUGCCGGUAUGAGUAGCGAAAGACAAGUGAGAAUCUUGUCCACCGAAUGCCUAAGGUUUCCUGAGGAAGGCUCGUCCGCUCAGGGUUAGUCGGGACCUAAGCCGAGGCUGAAAAGCGUAGGCGAUGGCCAACAGGUUGAUAUUCCUGUACCACCUCCCCGCCGUUUGAGUAAUGGGGGGACGCAGUAGGAUAGGGUAAGCGCGCUGCUGGAUAUGCGCGUUCAAGCAGUUAGGCUGAUGAGUAGGCAAAUCCGCUCAUCAUAAAGGCUGAGCUGUGAUGACGAGGGAAUUAUAGUACCGAAGUUCCUGAUUCCACACUGCCAAGAAAAGCCUCUAGCGAGGCGGGAGGUGCCCGUACCGCAAACCGACACAGGUAGGCGAGGAGAGAAUCCUAAGGUGAUCGAGAGAACUCUCGUUAAGGAACUCGGCAAAAUGACCCCGUAACUUCGGGAGAAGGGGUGCUCUGGUAGGGUGUAUAGCCCGAGAGAGCCGCAGUGAAUAGGCCCAGGCGACUGUUUAGCAAAAACACAGGUCUCUGCGAAGCCGCAAGGCGAAGUAUAGGGGCUGACGCCUGCCCGGUGCUGGAAGGUUAAGAGGAGGGGUUAUCCUUUGGGAGAAGCUCUGAAUCGAAGCCCCAGUAAACGGCGGCCGUAACUAUAACGGUCCUAAGGUAGCGAAAUUCCUUGUCGGGUAAGUUCCGACCCGCACGAAAGGCGUAACGAUCUGGGCACUGUCUCAACGAGAGACUCGGUGAAAUUAUAGUACCUGUGAAGAUGCAGGUUACCCGCGACAGGACGGAAAGACCCCGUGGAGCUUUACUGUAGCCUGAUAUUGAAUUUUGGUACAGCUUGUACAGGAUAGGUAGGAGCCUGAGAAGCCGGAGCGCUAGCUUCGGUGGAGGCGUCGGUGGGAUACUACCCUGGCUGUAUUGAAAUUCUAACCCGCGGCCCUGAUCGGGCCGGGAGACAGUGUCAGGUGGGCAGUUUGACUGGGGCGGUCGCCUCCUAAAAUGUAACGGAGGCGCCCAAAGGUUCCCUCAGAAUGGUUGGAAAUCAUUCGUAGAGUGUAAAGGCACAAGGGAGCUUGACUGCGAGACCUACAAGUCGAGCAGGGACGAAAGUCGGGCUUAGUGAUCCGGUGGUUCCGCAUGGAAGGGCCAUCGCUCAACGGAUAAAAGCUACCCCGGGGAUAACAGGCUUAUCUCCCCCAAGAGUCCACAUCGACGGGGAGGUUUGGCACCUCGAUGUCGGCUCAUCGCAUCCUGGGGCUGUAGUCGGUCCCAAGGGUUGGGCUGUUCGCCCAUUAAAGCGGUACGCGAGCUGGGUUCAGAACGUCGUGAGACAGUUCGGUCCCUAUCCGUCGUGGGCGUAGGAAAUUUGAGAGGAGCUGUCCUUAGUACGAGAGGACCGGGAUGGACACACCGCUGGUGUACCAGUUGUCUUGCCAAAGGCAUCGCUGGGUAGCUAUGUGUGGACGGGAUAAGUGCUGAAAGCAUCUAAGCAUGAAGCCCCCCUCAAGAUGAGAUUUCCCAUAGCGCAAGCUAGUAAGAUCCCUGAAAGAUGAUCAGGUUGAUAGGUCAGAGGUGGAAGCGUGGCGACAUGUGUAGCUGACUGAUACUAAUCGAUCGAGGACUUAACCAA
rnacentral:rRNA from 1 species